CAGAGUACUACUAGCAACAGCUUAAAACUCAAAGGACUUGGCCGUGCUUUAUAUCCCUCUAGAGGAGCCUGUUCUGUAAUCGAUAAACCCCGAUAAACCUCACCAACCCUUGCUAAUACAGCCUAUAUACCGCCAUCUUCAGCAAACCCUAAAAAGGAGACACAGUAAGCAAAACCAUUAAACAUAAAAACGUUAGGUCAAGGUGUAGCCCAUGAGUUGGAAAGAAAUGGGCUACAUUUUCUCACAUAGAACAUUUCACACGGAAAUUUUCGUGAAACCGAAAAUAGAAGGAGGAUUUAGUAGUAAAUUGAGAAUAGAGAGCUCAAUUGAAUUAGGCCAUGAAGCAC
rnacentral:rRNA from 1 species